rnacentral:rRNA from 1 species
UACGUAGGGUGCGAGCGUUAAUCGGAAUUACUGGGCGUAAAGCGUGCGCAGGCGGUUUGCUAAGACAGGUGUGAAAUCCCCGGGCUUAACCUGGGGACUGCGCUUGUGACUGGCAGGCUAGAGUACGGUAGAGGGGGGUGGAAUUCCUGGUGUAGCAGUGAAAUGCGUAGAUAUCAGGAGGAACACCGAUGGCGAAGGCAGCCCCCUGGGCCUGUACUGACGCUCAUGCACGAAAGCGUGGGGAGCAAACAGGAUUAGAUACCCU